GCCAGUCUACUACUGCCCUUGCCGGGUGAUGAACAUUGCAGAGAAGCUGUUUGUGUGGGGCAGACAAGAAUCUCGCCGCACCCCAUGUAGUCUUUGCCUGCGAGGACUGCGGUGAACAUUUUACCGUGAAGCAGCUGCUGGACAACCACCGACAACUCAAGCACCCACAAAUGUGUCAAGGGAAGUACCAAUGCACCCACUGCCCUUACUGCAGCAAUUACAGGUACAGCCUGGAGGCUCCUGCAGUUGCCUCCCACCACCACCGCGUCCUGACUGCGUCCACUGGACAGUUGGCAGCCUUAGUGACAAAGCCAAGCAGGCCGACAGCAACAUGCAGGUGCCAUGCAUCCCACAAGCGUCCUGGCUGCCCUGGAUCCCAUUAUGGUGAAACACUGCAGAUCGAUGCAUUGUACCGUGUUUUACAAGGUUGUUAAGGGUG